GACAGAGGGUGCAAACGUUGUUCGGAAUUACUGGGCGUAAAGCGUGUGUAGGCGGCCAAGUAAGUUGGAUGUGAAAGUUUGGGGUUUAAUUUUGGAAGUGUAUUUAAUAUUGUAUGGUUUGAGUAUUGGAGAGGUUGGUGGAAUUCUUGGUGUAGAGGUGAAAUUCGUAGAUAUUGAGAGGAAUAUUGGUGGUGAAGGCGGCCAACUGGACGAAUACUGACGCUGAGACACGAAAGCGUGGGGAGCAAACAGG
rnacentral:rRNA from 1 species